GGCAGGCUUAACACAUGCAAGUCGAGGGGCAGCAUUUCUAGCUUGCUAGAAGAUGGCGACCGGCGCACGGGUGCGUAACGCGUAUACAACCUACCUGUAACAGGAGGAUAGCCCAGAGAAAUUUGGAUUAAUACUCCGUAGUACUGUUUAACCGCAUGGUUUGAAUAGUUAAAGCUUCGGUGGUUAUAGAUGGGUAUGCGUAAGAUUAGCUAGUUGGUAAGGUAACGGCUUACCAAGGCGACGAUCUUUAGGGGGCCUGAGAGGGUGAUCCCCCACACUGGUACUGAGACACGGACCAGACUCCUACGGGAGGCAGCAGUGAGGAAUAUUGGUCAAUGGAGGCAACUCUGAACCAGCCAUGCCGCGUGUAGGAAGACUGCCCUAUGGGUUGUAAACUACUUUUAUUCAGGAAGAAACCCAGAUACGUGUAUCUGGCUGACGGUACUGAAAGAAUAAGCACCGGC
rnacentral:rRNA from 1 species